rnacentral:lncRNA from 1 species
UGCACAUUUUUGACAAAAAUGUGUGCAUAUUCACACCGAACACCUUCACAGAUUGAAAGCAUAUAACAUCCUCAUACCCAUUCCACACUUAAACGUUUUCAUCAUUCUCUGCCAAAGAAAUUUUCAAGUAUCAGUUAAUUCUUGCUUCAUUCAACACCAACGAGCAGUCCAUAAACACCAAGCAUCAUUCAAGGUAUUUCAUGCCAUCUCAGUUCACUAUCUUCAUAUAUGCAUUCCACUUCCCUCACUUCAUGUUUUAGAAAUUCAGAAAUAUAGGAUGAAGUUUAUUACAGAGAAACAUAGCAAAACACAUAUGCGUACAUGAUUAGCAUUCAACAGAAAUAGUUUAAUUCAUACAUUGAUACCUUUAUACUGCCUUUGUACUUAGAACCAAGUCAUGAGAAUUUCC